rnacentral:misc_RNA from 1 species
GGCGAAUUAGUACAGUACAAAUAUGAUUCUUGAUCAGGGCUUUCUUCCUUUCAAGGAAGAGAUAAGGUUUGUGUACUCCUGGGAUUACACACUGGGUAUGUUGUUGUAAUAUGAUUCUCGAUCAGGCUUCUCUUCCUUUUAAGGAAGAGGUAAGAUAUGCGUACUUCUGGGGUUACACUGGGUAAGUUGUUGUAAUAUGAUUCUUGAUCAGGAGAUCCUAACCACAGAUAUAUUGCAACUCAAGAUGAGGCAAAGUUCUUAUUCAUCAAUAUGAUUCUUGAUCAGCUUUUACAGGCUUGUCAUCAUACAUCCAGCUUCACAUGUAAUCCAAUAUAUAGAAACAGGCACCUCCUCAUACUGCAUCAAGGUCAGCUAUUUAUC